rnacentral:snRNA from 1 species
AUCCCUUCUCGGCCUUUUGGCUAAGAUCAAGUGUAGUAUCUGUUCUUAUCAGUUUAAGUGAAAUGCAUUUUUUGAAACCCAUGGAAGGGAAUAUGAUCAGCUACCUUUGAGUCAUGGGUAUUUCUCCACAUACCAGUUGCAAAUGACGAGAAUAU